rnacentral:rRNA from 1 species
GUGGGGAAUAUUGGACAAUGGGCGAAAGCCUGAUCCAGCCAUGCCGCGUGAGUGAUGAAGGCCUUAGGGUUGUAAAGCUCUUUCAGUAGGGAAGAUAAUGACGGUACCUACAGAAGAAGCCCCGGCUAACUUCGUGCCAGCAGCCGCGGUAAUACGAAGGGGGCUAGCGUUGUUCGGAUUUACUGGGCGUAAAGCGCACGUAGGCGGAUUGGUCAGUUAGAGGUGAAAUCCUGGAGCUCAACUCCAGAACUGCCUUUAAUACUGCCAGUCUAGAAUCCAGAAGAGGUGAGUGGAACUCCUAGUGUAGAGGUGGAAUUCGUAGAUAUUAGGAAGAACACCAGUGGCGAAGGCGGCUCACUGGUCUGGUACUGACGCUGAGGUGCGAAAGCGUGGGGAGCAAACAGGAUUAGAAACCCCAGUAGUCC